CCAGAGAUACACUGGCGACGCACCAUCGUGACGCACACUGGCGGUGUACCAACGUUCCUCCCUCUUCGUCACCGGCGAAAACCAGGGACCAUCUUCCUAACCUAACAGUUUGUAGAAGCUGAAAAAAUGGAGUCGAAGUACAUCAGAACUUUUGUGCACAUGUUGGUGGUGGUGGCGGCACUGAGUGGAGGUGGAUUUGGAUGGUAGGUUUAGAGAGAGAAAGAGAAAUUACCAAUCUACCCUCAUGUGCAAAGCACAUGCCAACUUAA
rnacentral:lncRNA from 1 species